rnacentral:rRNA from 1 species
AACGAACGCUGGCGGCAGGCUUAACACAUGCAAGUCGAACGCCCCGCAAGGGGAGUGGCAGACGGGUGAGUAACGCGUGGGAACAUACCCUUUCCUGCGGAAUAGCUCCGGGAAACUGGAAUUAAUACCGCAUACGCCCUACGGGGGAAAGAUUUAUCGGGGAAGGAUUGGCCCGCGUUGGAUUAGCUAGUUGGUGGGGUAAAGGCCUACCAAGGCGACGAUCCAUAGCUGGUCUGAGAGGAUGAUCAGCCACAUUGGGACUGAGACACGGCCCAAACUCCUACGGGAGGCAGCAGUGGGUAAUAUUGGACAAUGGGCGCAAUCCUGAUCCAGCCAUGCCGCGUGAGUGAUUAAGGCCUUAGGGUUGUAAAGCUCUUUCACCGAUGAAGAUAAUGACGGUAGUCGGAGAAGAAGCCCCGGCUAACUUCGUG